AUGCUUUCUGACGUUGUUGCCAGUGCCGUCUCUUCCUCAAGUUCUGGUGGGGACAGGAUAGGAGUGAGUGAGAAUGGUGGUGGUGGUGGCAGCAGCGGGAUCGAAAGGGAGUUAGGGUUGGUUUGGGGGCUUAUAUGUUAAAGUCAUGGGCAGGUUGGGCCGGGCCGGCCCAACCGCUCACAACCACUAUGAUAACCACUGAAAUUAUACUCUAGCCCAACCUGUCCAUAACUUUAAUAUGUAAUCCCCGCCCCCGCCCCCACCCCAACCCUAACCCCCUCUCAGUACUGCCGCCGCUGCCACCGCCGCCACCACCAUUUCCAGUUCCUCUCACCCUGUCGCCACCAACUCUUGAUCAAGAGACGGCUCUGGCGGCAACGAGG